GACGAACCGUGCGAACGUUAUUCGGAAUCACUGGGCUUAAAGCGCGUGUAGGCGGACGGGGACGUCGGUCGCUGAAAUCCCCCGGCUCAACCGGGGAACGGGCGCCGAAACGCCCCGUCUCGAGGGACGUAGGGGGACCUGGAACUUCCGGUGGAGCGGUGAAAUGCGUUGAGAUCGGAAGGAACGCCCGUGGCGAAAGCGAGGUCCUGGACGUCUACUGACGCUGAGACGCGAAAGCGUGGGGAGCGAACAGG
rnacentral:rRNA from 1 species